GCGCAGCAGGCGAGAAUCCUUCGCAAUGCGGGAAACCGCGACGAGGGGACUCCCAGUGCCUACGCUCAGCGUAGGCUGUUCCCGAGCCUAGAAAGCUCGGGGAGUAAGGGCUGGGUAAGACGGGUGCCAGCCGCCGCGGUAAUACCCGCAGCCCGAGUGGUGGCCACUAUUAUUGGGCCUAAAGCGUCCGUAGCCGGCCCGGUAAAUGCCUGGGUAAAUCGUGAGGCCUAACCUCACGAAUUCCGGGUAGACUGCCGGGCUAGGGACCGGAGGAGGGAGAGGGGUACUCCAGGGGUAGGGGUGAAAUCCUGUAAUCCCUGGAGGACCACCGGUGGCGAAGGCGCUCUCCUAGGACGGGUCCGACGGUGAGGGACGAAAGCCAGGGGAGCGAACCGGAUUAGAUACCCCUGUAGU
rnacentral:rRNA from 1 species